GAAGCAAACUGGUUCUAUCGCUGCUCUUUUUGGGAGGAGAGGAAAGUCCGGGCAACAUAGAGCGACACGCUUCCUAACGGGAAGGAUGUUAUUUUAAAUAGCAGACAGAAAGUGCCACAGAAAAUAUACCGCUUUUCGGAGUAAGGGUGAAAACGUAAGGUAAGAGCUUACGGUCUUGUAUGGUAACAUAUAUUACGGUAAACCUCGUGUGUUGAAAGACCAAAUAGGUUGCGAAAUCCGAAGGCUGCUCGUCUUCUUUCAAUUUAUUGGAAUUCGUAAUGGGUAGGUUGAUUGAGUUUGUCAGCGAUGGCAAAUCUAGAUAAAUGAUAGAAAUUCCACUUCGGUGGUCUACAGAACCCGGCUUACAAGGUUUGCUUCUUUU
rnacentral:RNase_P_RNA from 1 species